rnacentral:miRNA from 1 species
CAUCGCCACCCACGUCACCUC